GAUGAACGCUGGCGGCGUGCCUAAUACAUGCAAGUCGAGCGAACGGACGAGAAUCUUGCUUCUCUGAUGUUAGCGGCGGACGGGUGAGUAACACGUGGAUAACCUACCUAUAAGACUGGGAUCACUUCGGGACACCGGCGCUAAUCCCGUAUGAUCUUUUGAACCACAUGGUUCAAUAGUGAAAGACGGUCUUGCUGUCACUUCUCGCUGGUUCCGCGCUGCAUUAGCUAGUUGGGAAGGUAACGGCUUACCAAGGCAACGAUGCAUAGCCGACCUGAGAGGGUGAUCGGCGACACUGGAACUGAGACACGGUCCAGACUACUACGGGAGGCAGCAGUAGGGAAUCUGCCGCAAUGGGCGAAAGCAUGACGGAGCAACGCCGCGUGAGUGAUGAAGGUCUUCGGAGCGUAAAACUCUGUUAUUAGGUAAGAACAUAUGUGUAAGUAACUGUGCACAUCUUGACGGUACCUAAUCAGAAAGCCACGGCUAACUACGUG
rnacentral:rRNA from 1 species